rnacentral:rRNA from 1 species
UACUCCGUGCAGCAGCGCGGUAUACGAUGCUGCGAGCGAUCAUCGUAUUACUGGCGUAAGCGCAUGCAGGUGGUUUGUUUAAUCAGAUGUGAAAGCCCGGGGCUCAACCUCGGAAUAGCAUUUGAAACUGGCAGACUAGAGUACUGUAGAGGGGGGUAGAAUUUCAGGUGUAGCGGUGAAAUGCGUAGAGAUCUGAAGGAAUACCGGUGGCGAAGGCGGCCCCCUGGACAGAUACUGACACUCAGAUGCGAAAGGGUGGGGAGCAAACAGGAUUAGAUACCCUGGUAGUCCACGCCGUAAACGAUGUCUACUUGGAGGUUGUGGCCCUGAGCCGUUGCUUUCGGAGCUAACGCGUUAAGUAGACCGCCUGGGGAGUACGGUCGCAAGAUUAAAACUCAAAAGAAUUGGCGGGGGCCCGCACCAGCGGUGGAGCAUGUGGUUUAAUUUGAUGCAACGCGAAGAACCUUACCUACUUUUGACAUCCAGAGAACUUUCCAAAGAUGGAUUGGUGCCUUCGGGAACUUUGAAACAGGUGCUGCAUGGCUGUCGUCAGCUUGUGUUGUGAAAUGUUGGGUUAAGUCCCGCAACGAGCGCCACCCUUAUCCUUUUUUGCCAGCGAGUAAUGUCGGGAACUCCAGGGAGACUGCCGGUGAUAAACCGGAGGAAGGUGGGGACGACGUCAAGUCAUCAUGGCCCUUACGAGUAGGGCUACACACGUGCUACAAUGGCGCAUACAGAGGGCGGCCAACUUGCGAAAGUGAGCGAAUCCCAAAAAGUGCGUCGUAGUCCGGAUUGGAGUCUGCAACUCGACUCCAUGAAGUCGGAAUCGCUAGUAAUCGUGGAUCAGAAUGCCACGGUGAAUACGUUCCCCGUCCUCUACACUCCGCCCGUCACACC